UUACGGCGAUAUCGCGUUAAAACAACGGUUCUCAACGGAUCAUUGAAGUUAAGCAACGUCGAGACUGGUCAGUACCUAGAUGGGGGACCACUUGGGAAUAUCAGGUGCUGUAAG